AUACGGAGGAUCCGAGCGUUAUCCGGAUUUAUUGGGUUUAAAGGGAGCGUAGGCGGACGCUUAAGUCAGUUGUGAAAGUUUGCGGCUCAACCGUAAAAUUGCAGUUGAUACUGGGUGUCUUGAGUACAGUAGAGGCAGGCGGAAUUCGUGGUGUAGCGGUGAAAUGCUUAGAUAUCACGAAGAACUCCGAUUGCGAAGGCAGCCGGCUGGACUGUAACUGACGCUGAUGCUCGAAAGUGUGGGUAUCAAACAGGAUUAGAUACCCUGGUAGUCCACACAGUAAACGAUGAAUACUCGCUGUUUGCGAUAUACAGUAAGCGGCCAAGCGAAAGCGUUAAGUAUUCCACCUGGGGAGUACGCCGGCAACGGUGAAACUCAAAGGAAUUGACGGGG
rnacentral:rRNA from 1 species